GAGGUGAAAAAUGAGUCGUGGUAACGCAGCAGCAGCUAAGGGAAAGAAGAAGGGAGUUUCCUUCACUAUCGAUUGUUCUAAACCUGUGGAUGAUAAGAUUAUGGAGAUUGCUUCUUUAGAGAAGUUUCUUCAGGAGAGGAUUAAGGUUGGUGGUAAAGCUGGUGCUCUUGGUGAUUCUGUUUCUAUCACUCGUGAGAAGAGCAAGAUCACUGUCACUGCUGAUGGUCAAUUCUCCAAGAGGUA
rnacentral:sRNA from 1 species